ACUCUGGAUGGUUAGAUGCAUGAUGGGCUAGUAUAAAAAAAAAAAUGCUUUCCAGCAUUAAGAUGGCAGCUCUGCUGGUUCUGCCCUGGGUCCCCACACCUCCGGCUCUGCCUCAGUCCCCAGGUCCCCCGCCAGCACACGGACCUGGCCCCCCAUCCCUCCCCCUACUCUUCCCUUAUUCUGGAGUCCCCUUAGUCGGUUGCCUGUGAACGUCUGGAAGCAGUUCCUUGCAGAGGGGGUUCGGUCAUGAGUCCGGGCCCUGCAUUUCUCCCUCUCUCCACCAGAGGUCGCUAUCUCCAGUCCUCCUGGACUCCAUUCCCCAAACUCCAUACACCUGUUCACUCAUUACACUAAUCCCCCGCACUUGAUACACCUGUUCACUCUUUCUCUCAUUACACUCACCCUCAGCUGUUCCCCAUUUUCACAGACUACAUAUUCUAUUCGCACUCACCACUCUGGCUGAAUUAAUUUUUUAAUGUUUUGGAUACAUGCACUGUGUUGCUAUACCUGAACCUGUUUUGUUUUUCCUUGUUGUUCUUUUUUUUAGUAAAGAGAAGUUUCACCUGCAUUUGGACACAGACCCUGUUUUUCCAUGGUGCUCUCUCACUAGAUCAUGACAUCAUGUAGCCAAAAAAUGUGACAUCCGGAGGGCAGAGCCUUUGAAAUGAGAAACAGCUGUAAGCUAGUUGUUUCCAGUUCUACUUAACUGUGCAGUUUAGAAAAAAGUAAUUGGUAAUAUGUCAGUCAGUGGACAGAGAACAAUCCGAGACACUGAGAAGGUGUAAAAAAAACAAAGGAAGUUUGUCUUCUACAAAGAGAGAGGAGAAUAGCCUGUGCUUGAGUGGUGGAAUCUGCUAACGCU